AUAUUUAUAAGUUAACAAAACUAUUGACCUUCAAAGUCAAAAAUAUAAUUCAUUUUGUUAAAUAUACCA
rnacentral:tRNA from 1 species